AUUGAACGCUGGCGGCAUGCCUUACACAUGCAAGUCGAACGGCAGCACGGGAGCAAUCCUGGUGGCGAGUGGCGAACGGGUGAGUAAAGUAUCGGAACGUGCCCAGUCGUGGGGGAUAACGUAGCGAAAGCUACGCUAAUACCGCAUACGAUCUAUGGAUGAAAGCGGGGGAUCGCAAGACCUCGCGCGAUUGGAGCGGCCGAUAUCAGAUUAGGUAGUUGGUGGGGUAAAGGCCCACCAAGCCGACGAUCUGUAGCUGGUCUGAGAGGACGACCAGCCACACUGGGACUGAGACACGGCCCAGACGCCUACGGGAGGCAGCAGUGGGGAAUUUUGGACAAUGGGCGCAAGCCUGAUCCAGCAAUGCCGCGUGCAGGAUGAAGGCCUUCGGGUUGUAAACUGCUUUUGUACGGAGCGAAAAGGCUCUCUCUAAUACAGGGGGCUCGUGACGGUACCGUAAGAAUAAGCACCGGCUAACUACGUGCCAGCCGCCGCCGUAAGAC
rnacentral:rRNA from 1 species